rnacentral:sRNA from 1 species
AGGGAGCGGCGCGCGAGCCAACGACCCCGCCCGGGCCUGCGGGAGGACGGAGCCCCAGCCCCGAGGACCCGCGAGCACCCACGACCUCGCCGGGGAGUGGGCAGCUGCCACUCCCACCUCCACUGGCACUUCGGGCCCCCCAGCCUGCCCUGUGCCUGCAUUCUCCUCCGCGAUAGACCCCACUCGAGACUCCCUGUUUGUGGGGGACCUCAGUGUCCCUACAACACUCAUAGGGACACUCAAGCUCCCCCGGCCCCGGGGACCUGGAUCCUCAGAGAGCUCAGGCAGGUCACUGGGAUGAGUAAGUCCCCCUAGUUUUGUCUGUCACUGGCCUCGUCUUCCAACUCGGGGUCCAGCCCUGGGCAAGGCGUCCACCCACUGCGGCUGCAGUUCCUCACUCGACCUUGACAGCCUCCCAGAGCAGCCGCCCGCUCCCACCCCCACCAUCGCCUCGGCCACUCCCGCGCCAGAGAAGACACUUCAGACUCCGGAGCUGCUCUUCUGCAAUUCGGUGUUUUAUUCUUUCCAAAUCUCAGGCUUAUGCACAAGAUGGAAGAGCACUGUUAAAAUAAAAAAUGGACCUAAA